rnacentral:RNase_MRP_RNA from 2 species
GAAUGUCAGGAAGGAUUGUGUCAAUUGAAAUAUAAACCGAUAGGAAUGGUCUUGUAUUGAUUCCUCUCACAUAGUUUCAGGGCAAGUCCUCGGAUCCAUUCGCAACUCUAGGGUUGCGUGUCUAAUCUCACGAUUAGAGGGAAAGCCAAGCUAGUAAAUAGAUAGCCAAUCUUAACGGUGUGUUAUCUGGCCAUGAUGGGUUCGCCUUAGCUUCCUUCAUGCUGUUAUAGAUUGUUAUCAUCAUAUUCUUAGUUAUGCAAUCGGGAGAUAUACUUGUAUAUCUUCUAACACAACGAGGCUCACUCUCUUGACAUU